rnacentral:rRNA from 1 species
UGCGUAGGCGGCGCGGUAAGUUGGGUGUGAAAUCCCUCGGCUCAACCGAGGAACUGCGCCCAAAACUACCGUGCUCGAGGGAGAUAGAGGUAAGCGGAACUUAGGGUGGAGCGGUGAAAUGCGUUGAUAUCCUAAGGAACACCGGUGGCGAAAGCGGCUUACUGGAUCUCUUCUGACGCUGAGGCACGAAAGCUAGGGUAGCGAACGG